ensembl:lncRNA
CUUGAAAGAGGCACAAAACAACUGACAAUAGACACAAAAUAACCACAACAGGAAGCAAAACAACCACUAACAGACACAAAAUAACUUUAAAGAUACAUGAAACAACCACAGAGAUGCAAAAUGUCCACAAAGACACACAAAACAAAACUCCAAACAGACACAAAACAAACAGAAAGGUAAAAAAUCACCACACAGAGAUGCAAAACGACCACAAAGAAAUGCAAAAUAACUCUAAAGAGACAUGAAACAACCAUAGAGACACAAAAUGUCCACAAGGACACACAAAACAACUCUAGACACAAAAUAAGCAGAAAGGUAAAAAAAAAAAUUCCCACACAAAGGCACAAAAUGGCAACAAAGACUCACAAAACAACUUCAAACAGAUACAAAAUAAGCAGAAGGGUAAAGAAAAAAAUCACCACACAGAGAUAGAAAACGACCACAAAGAGACACAAAACAACCACAAAAUGGCACAAACAACUUCAAAGAGACACAAAAUGAUCACAAAUAUAGAAAAAAUAAUUCUAAAUAGGCACAAAACAACCACAGGAACACAAUAUGAGCACAAAGACACACAAAACAAGUCCAAAGAAACACACAAUGACAAUAACAGGAAGAAAAACGACCACGAGACGACAAAAAAUAACUAAAGGGACGUGAAACAACCACAGAGACACAAAAUGUCCACAAGGACAAACAAAACAACUCCAGACACAAAAUAAGGAGAAAGGUAAAAAAAAAAAAUCCCACACAAAGGCACAAAAUGGCAACAAAAACACACAAAACAACUUCAAACAGACACAAAAUAAGCAGAAGGGUAAAGAAAAAAAAUCACCACACAGAGAUAGAAAACGACCACAAAGAGACACAAAACAAGUCCAAAGAAACACACAAUGACCGUAACAGAAAGAAAAACAACCACUAGACGACAAAAAAUAACUCUAAAGAGGCCUGAAACAACCACGGAGACACAAAAUGCCCACAAAGACACACAAAACAAAACUCCAAGCAGAAAUUAAUUACAUUAAACAAGCAGAAAGGUUAAAAAAAAAAAAAAAAACACCACAUGGAGAUACAAAACGAGCACAAAGAAAUGAAAAACAACAACAAACACACAACAAAUGUUCAAUGAGUUCAGAUCAGCUGCUGAUCUUCACCUACAGCUUCAUCAGCAUGAAGCAGCCGCUUUCUUCCUGUUCAGCUCAUUUCCAGAGUUUUUCGGAUUAUUUGUUGCUGAGUAAAGUGAAAGGCUGCGAGAGUCUCAGCGUGACGGCGGCUGACAGCAGCAGCUCACCGGGUUUUUAC